UGGAGUCGGACUCCGUUUAUUUCAAUGGCAGCAUGACGAGAAACUCCUGAGGUAAGGUGAUCCUGAAAGAGCCUUGUGAAGUUUCUGCUGUCAAAAGACUCCACAAGUGAGAGCCCUCUCUGCUCUCUUUCUUAGGAGUGUCUCCACCCUAAGUUGCUUCCUUAGGUCCUCCACACUCGCCCUGUCAUGACUGGCCCCUAGCACACUGGUCCCUGGAUCACCUUCCCCUGUCAAAGUGGCUUCUUCAGUGGCAGCCCCUGACUGACUGGCCCCUGGAAGUCCGCUGACCUCUCCUUCAUCCUCUAUCUGCAUACUGCCUCCUGGUACUUCCCUAUCAUUUUCAGAUUCUGCCUCAAUUUCUCCCUCAUUCUCUGUAAUAAUAACAAGGUGUUGUUGCAGUUAAUAUGCAUUUAUGCUGCCUUUACAUUAGCACCUACUUUCAUCUCCUGUUUAAGGGUACACUACACUCCAAUUAAACAAAACUGUAUCUUUAUGUGAAACAAAUCAUCUGCCACACUCCUGGACUAACAACAUGUACAUAAAGUUUAUUUUUUUAGCAAUAGAUGAAGAUGCCUGUAGAUUAUCCAUGACAUUGCCCGGUUCACUCUGCAAUGGAUUAUUCCACAAGCCAUCAGUUUUUUAAAUAUGGACAGGAAAUAGGAUCCAGCCAAUCUGGCCAUAACAUUAUGUGCAAAUGGAGAUACUGUAUGGAGUGUUCAUGUUUAUGUUGUUUUAAGUGUGGAAUGACGUGUUUUUUUUCCCCCCACUGCAAAUCAAUUUCCUUGUAAUAAAGCCAACUUACUUUUACACCAGAUACGCCUCUUUUUUAAAUUGUUCCUGUUCGGGGAAGUCAGAGUGGGUCAAACACUACACUGAUCAAAUAUUAAAGGUUUAAGGGUCCCUCCUGCCCCUUAGCAGGAGGUUGCGUUGUCAGGCACUUUUAAGAGUAAUCUUAGUACCAGGUACUACAGUAGUGUUACUGUUUUUACAGAAUAUGUGCUCAUAUUCUCUGUAAGCGUGUAAAAGGAGCUUGUGUUCCACUAGCGUGAGAUAAGUUGCUCUUUGUUUAUCUGGUGUUGCUAUGGUGAAUCGGUGCAUACAAAGGUUAACAUAUUCAGAGUUUAUUCAACCAAUUCAGAUCAGCUGUUCUAGAACUGAAUACUCAGUUUCCCAUAUUCAGAGUUCAUUGUUAGACUGAGAGUUUGUUGAACCUCUGGAAUACCUCUCAGGGCUGUUAUAAUGCUGACUGUUGCUAUUCCUCAACCAGGUAUCUCAGACCAUCAUUGGGUCUUUCACUAAAGACGUGAAUGGCAGAUAAGAAUAAUAACAAUAAGAAUAACUUUAUUUAAUUUUCUGUCAGCUCAUUUAUUAUUUGCAAAAGAAUUAAAAAGCGUGAUGUCUGUAGGUAUGUAGGAUCUUCUGUAUCUCUCUGUCCUGCAUCGAAGAGAGAGGAGCCGUCCACCACUGUUUUUUUGUUUCAUCAAGGUGUUAUGGAGCGGAUGAACCGGGUUAUUCAUGAUGGCCUUGAACAUCUUCAGUGUGCAUCUCUCCACCAGCUCCUCCAGUGUGUCCAACCACAACUUGAAGAGUUGCGUACAUAGUUGUACCUGCAGUCUCAUAUGGCUUUUUUUUAACCAUUUCAUAGCCCCACCUUUGUUCUGCUGUCCUAAUGCUGAAAUAUGAUCUCUGUUAAAUAAAACUGUUCUUCCUUAAUGCCGGAUUUAUCAUUUUCUGUGAUGUAAGAGCCUUCAUACAUUUUCUUAUAAUUUUUUUUUUGUUCUCACAGACACACAAUUGCUCUUAUUGUCACAUUCAUUGUUUAAAUACAUAAAAUGUUUAACUGAAAAUCAUCAUUGUCCAAUGUCAGGGAGUAUUCACAAAUAGCCUACAUUAAUCUCAUGUAGCUACAUAAGAGAUGCAUUGCACCAGAUUACAGUUUAGUUGCUAAUUUAUCUGCAGUCCAUGAAGCUAACACAAAGCUUUCCCUCUAAAACAAACCACACACAGAAAAACUUGUCUAAUUACACUUUUAGUUGUCAUCCAGCCACUCAAUACACGUAACUGACAUUGAUGUAUACACAGUAAUUCAAUAAGAGUUGUAAAUGUACCUGUGUACGAUUUAUUUUAAUAUUUACCGUUCAAAAGCGAGCUCACUGCUGUCUGUCCCAUAGAAGAUAGGUCAGAGCGAAAGAUAAGAACAGAGUGGUGACAGCCUUUGAUGUCGCCGCCAAAGCGGUCAUGUGGUUCAUGUAAGCCUCAAUAGUUCCAAACACAGCCUCCGCUGUCAUGUUCUUCUAUGGGACAGACAGCAGUGAGCUCGCUUUUGAACGGUAAAUAUUAAAAUAAAUCGUACACAGGUACAUUUACAACUCUUAUUGAAUUACUGUGUAUACAUCAAUGUCAGCAGAAACUUCACAAGGCUCUUUCAGGAUCACCUAAAAGACACAAUUUAAAAUAAUUAAACUCAACGUUCCAUAUAAACAUGUAACAUUUUUUAAAAUCAGAGGUAAAUAAUAUCAUCAAUUCAGUGGUAACAGGUGUUGUAAUAUAUUCCCGUAGUGUUUCAACCACUGUGCAAUGUUUUGGUCUUGUACGAUUAGGUUUAUGAAUGUAACAUUCAAAGACAAGCUGAAAUAGCAUUUUUAAGAUGUCUAGCCUCUAUAGUGUGACUGUGACAUAGUUCCAAGUUAAACAUAAUAUAUGCCUUAAAUGCUGACAGAAGUAGUAGUAGUAGUGAAGUAGUAGUCCUAUUUCAGUCUGUCAUCACACGGCAUACAUAUAAACAGGAAUUAAAUUAUAAGAUAAUAACACUCUUAUGUAAACAUAAAAAGAAUACACCGUACAUAACGUUAGGUAUUUGAUAAAGGCUCAGGCAGAAGUAUGUGCGCCUGUCCUACAUUAUCUUCUUAUGGAACAGUUGAGAAAACUAAUAAAAGCUAACACAUCCUAUUAACGUUACCCUUAGCUAACACCGUCAGGUUCGGAUGAUAAAAUCUAAAUAAAACCCGUUAGUAAUCAUCCCAACUAUAUGUGAUUUGUCUGUGAUUCAUUAAUCAAACAGGAACACCACAAAUGUCAGGUGCUAAACGGUGCUAAAUCUCCACAGCUGGCGACGUCGAGCUAACGAACUAGCAGGCAAUGGCUGAAAAACGAUCAUAAUUCCUGACUCAAAAAGAAAACAUAAUUACAUUGUGAACAUACAAAAAUUUUUUUAUAUCUACAUAAUAAAGGACCUCCGAUAUAAUAAACACACCUAAUGACUUAAAAUUGGUCGAUAUUUCAUCACCUUACUUCAGGAGUUUCUCGUCAUGCUGCCAUUGAAAUAAACGGAG